CACCAAACAACGCUGUAGCAACCCUGCCUGAAACUCUAGCAACAAAAUGCAUACUGUCUGAAAGAUAACCCAAAAGCUGAGCUUCAGACUCCCUGUGCCGAAUGACUACCCCCCACCUGUCUAGCAUUCGUAGCCAGCAAUUUAGUCACCUUCCUCUGCUCUCUACCACUGACCCAGUAUACCUGACAUGACACCACUGGAACAGUGGGACCAUCUCAUGCAGAGAUCCCCUGCCUCAGCCCAUCCAAAUCCAUUUUUGCAGCCCGGUAGAGAAAUCCCUUUGUGAAACCAGACCCAGGUCAAACCCCCCUGCAGGAAUCAAAACUACAUU